CCUACGGGCGGCAGCAGUGGGGAAUAUUGGGCAAUGGGCGCAAGCCUGACCCAGCAACGCCGCGUGAGGGAAGACGGUCCUAUGGAUUGUAAACCUCUUUUGUCGGGGAGCAAAAGACGCCACGCGUGGCGUUCCGAGAGUACCCGAAGAAAAAGCAUCGGCUAACUCCGUGCCAGCAGCCGCGGUAAUACGGAGGAUGCGGGCGUUAUCCGGAUUUAGUGGGUUAAAAGGGUGCGCAGGCGGAAGAUCAAGUCAGCGGUAAAAUUGAGAGGCUCAACCUCUUCGAGCCGUUGAAACUGGUUUUCUUGAGUGAGCGAGAAGUAUGCGGAAUGCGUGGUGUAGCGGUGAAAUGCAUAGAUAUCACGCAGAACUCCGAUUGCGAAGGCAGCAUACCGGCGCUCAACUGACGCUCAUGCACGAAAGUGUGGGUAUCGAACAGGAUUAGAUACCCUGGUAGUC
rnacentral:rRNA from 1 species